UUGUGAUGUGCUCAGCAUUUGACACGUGCCUGAAGGCCAUCCCCCAAAGUGUUCCCUGGCCCCUCCCGCAGGCCUUUUCCUUAAAGGGCAAGCCUUCCUCUCAUUUCCCUUUUCUCCUUAUCCCAUCUCUGGUUUCCUGAUGCACUCCUCGCUGGCUCCUGCCCUCCCUGUAGAGCUGCCCUCGACCCCCUUACGCCACACCCUGCCAGCCUCAGACUUCCAGAGAGAAAUCGUGUAGAAUCGAGAGACAAAGCAAGGUCCACCUGGAGAGGCAGUGUCCUCCCGCGUGAGCCUCUCGAGAACAAUCUUUCAUAUGCACAACUUCCAUCCUGCUUAGUAAAUGUUCAGCAGGGAACUCAAAUUUCCUCCUCUCCAGGCCCUUCCCCACUCCCGGGAUCCCUGCCCUGGGAGCGGUAGGUGAGAAGACCUGAUGGAACCUUCCAGAACUUUCUCCUCCCAGUCUCCAGUCCCCGAAGAGGUUCUCAAAUGUCGGAGCCCCAGAGGUGUGACGUGCUUUUCCUGGCAUGCUCUCUGAGAAAAUCAGAGUGGAGCUCAACCCGCUUGGGAACUCCUCCCGCUGGUUCAGAGAAGACCCCAAGCUGGCGCUUGGAGAGGUGGCUUUUCCCACAUCCGUGUCACUUCAGAGACUCGCUGGGGGACACGCCAGGUUUUAAUCGCGACGCGGCCGGUAGUUAGCCCGAGAACGUUGCAGAAGGAACGGCCUUCUCAGAAAUGUGUUCAUACCUCAGUGUGAGGGGGGCUGUUUAGAAGAGGAGGAAGAGGAAGUGAGGAAGUAUACUUGGGUUCUCCAGUGGGUUGAGAGGUGGUCGCUGGGCAGUCACAUCUGUCGACUAUUAAAUGAUAGAUCGGGUACUUCUGGUUUCAGCAAUAUGGGUUUCUGUGUAAUUAAAAAUUUCUUUUGCAAAUUUCUAGAACCUA